UAGGGAAUCUUCCGCAAUGGGCGCAAGCCUGACGGAGCAACGCCGCGUGAGUGAUGAAGGCCUUCGGGUUGUAAAACUCUGUCUUCUGUGAAGAACCAUCCUGUGCAGGGAAAGCUCAGGACCUGACGGUAACAGAGGAGGAAGCCCCGGCUAACUACGUGCCAGCAGCCGCGGUAAUACGUAGGGGGCAAGCGUUGUCCGGAAUCACUGGGCGUAAAGCGCGCGCAGGCGGUCUUUCACGUCCGGGGUGAAAGCCCAGAGCUCAACUCUGGGAUUGCCUUGGAUACGGGGAGACUUGAGGAUCGGAGAGGCAAGGGGAAUUCCACGUGUAGCGGUGAUAUGCGUAGAGAUGUGGAGGAACACCUGUGGCGAAGGCGCCUUGCUGGCCGAUUUCUGACGCUGAGGCGCGAAAGCGUGGGGAGCAAACA
rnacentral:rRNA from 1 species